GACGAACGCUGGCGGCGUGCUUAACACAUGUAAGUCGAGCGGAGCGGCGAACGGGUGAGUAACGCGUGAGUAACUGCCCCCCUCUCUGGGAUAACAGUUGGCAACGGCUGCUAAUACCGGCUAUUGGGGGAUGACUCGCGUCCGAUCAGCUUGUUGGUGGGGUAGUGGCCUACCAAGGCGCCGACGGGUAGCCGGCCUGCGAGGGCGACCGGCCACAGUGGGCUGAGAUACGGCCCGAACUCGUACGGGGGGCAGCAGGGGGGAGUAUUGCACAAUGGUGGAAACCCUGAUGCAGCAACGCGCGUGCGGGAUGACGGCCUUCGGGUUGUAAACCGCUUUCAGCUAUGACGCGGUAGUGGCAGAAGAAGCACCGGCUAACUACGUGCCAGCCGCCGCGGUAAUAC
rnacentral:rRNA from 1 species